CUUUAUUGGAGAGUUUGAUCCUGGCUCAGGAUGAACGCUGGCGGCGUGCCUAAUACAUGCAAGUCGAGCGAAUGGAUUAAGAGCUUGCUCUUAUGAAGUUAGCGGCGGACGGGU
rnacentral:rRNA from 1 species